GACGAACGCUGGCGGCGUGCUUAACACAUGCAAGUCGAACGGAAAGGCCCUGCUUUUGUGGGGUGCUCGAGUGGCGAACGGGUGAGUAACACGUGAGUAACCUGCCCUUGACUUUGGUAUAACUUCAGGAAACUGGGGCUAAUACCGGAUAGGAGCUCCUUCUGCAUGGUGGGGGUUGGAAAGUUUCGGCGGUUGGGGAUGGACUCGCGGCUUAUCAGCUUGUUGGUGGGGUAGUGGCUUACCAAGGCUUUGACGGGUAGCCGGCCUGAGAGGGUGACCGGCCACAUUGGGACUGAGAUACGGCCCAGACUCCUACGGGAGGCAGCAGUGGGGAAUAUUGCACAAUGGGCGGAAGCCUGAUGCAGCAACGCCGCGUGCGGGAUGACGGCCUUCGGGUUGUAAACCGCUUUCGCCUGUGACGAAGCGUGAGUGACGGUAAUGGGUAAAGAAGCACCGGCUAACUACGUG
rnacentral:rRNA from 1 species